GCCUUCGUGGUGUAGUCGUCAGCGCACUGGACGGAUAUUCCAGAGGUCCGUGGUUCGAAUCUCGGCGAGGGCA
rnacentral:tRNA from 1 species